GACGAACGCUGGCGGCGUGCUUAACACAUGCAAGUCGAACGCUGAAGCUCAGCUUUUGUUGGGUGGAUGAGUGGCGAACGGGUGAGUAACACGUGAGUAACCUGCCCCCUUCUUUGGGAUAACGCCCGGAAACGGGUGCUAAUACUGAAUAUUCACUGGUCUUCGCAUGGGGGUUGGUGGAAAGGGUUUUUCUGGUGGGGGAUGGGCUCGCGGCCUAUCAGCUUGUUGGUGGGGUGAUGGCCUACCGAGGCUUUGACGGGUAGCCGGCCUGAGAGGGUGACCGGGCACAUUGGGACGGAGAUGCGGCCCAGACUCCUACGGGAGGGAGCAGUGGGGAAUAUGGCACAAUGGGCGCAGGCGUGAUGCAGCGACGCCGCGUGAGGGAUGGAGACCUUCGGGUUGUGAACCUCUUUCGCUCAUGGUGAAGCCGCUACAAUGGUUGUGGUGAGGGUAGUGGGUAAAGAAGCGCCGGCUAACUACGUG
rnacentral:rRNA from 1 species